rnacentral:lncRNA from 1 species
GCCUGGGUAACUGGGUUGAGGUCAGAUAGGCAGUCGCUCCUUGUAAAACACUGCUACUCAGCUAAAUCCGGUUAGACUGGAAGCCAACCCCAUUCCCCAACAUAAUUGGGAAAAGGCUCGGGAGAUGAUGAUACAUAGACCUACAUAAGUAGAGACUUACCUACCUGAUUAAUAAUACCUAUUCUCCGAAACCUCAACGAGUUGUAUCUGUAGUGAUAACAUUGCGCAAUAGUGCUGCAAUAUGUGUAAUUAUUGUGCAAUAAUUGCACAAAUUGUGUAAACAUUGCGUAAUAGAUAAGAGUACAAUAUGUGUGUCGGAGCACCUAUAUAAAAACAGAUAUUGCAGAAUCAGCCUCAUUCGUAGUGGAAUAGUCAGACACGAGUGCAAGUAAGAUUUGUGAUUUAAUAUAUCAAUUUCAAAAACUAAACGAACCAGUUCAGUUUUUGUGUUACAGAAGCUGAAAUUGCUGAAACGCUGAAACAUGGAGGCAGCGAUCGUCGUUGAAGUGCAAUCCAGUGCUGAGGCUCAAGGAGUAAGUACAAAUAGACCUCGUAUCAGGGAUCGAGCAAGGAGUCGUGGUCGCGAACGAGUAUUUACUCAAAUAUCUCGUGGCCAUUCCAGGGGAAGAUCCCGUGGCCGUUCCAGGGGAAGAUCCCGUGGUCGUUCCAGGGGAAGAUCCCGUGACCGUUCCAGGGGAAGAUCUCGUGGCCGUUCCCGCGGAAAAUCCCGCAGUCGCUCAAGAGGUAAAUCCACCGGACAAUCGGAGGUCACUUCUAAACAAGUAAGAAGGCCUAGAGAUGAAUCAAGGAAUUGUUUGUUUAGACUGUCUGAAUAUUACUCGGAAACAAUGGAUACGCGCAGGAGCAGGGAAAGAUCUAGAAGUCCUAACAGGAAAUUGAGGUGUCAUUCCAGGGCAAGAUCCAGGAGUCAGUCUAGGGGAAGAUCCAGAGGCCAUUCUAGGGGAAGAUCCAGGGGCCAUUCUAGAGGCAGAUCCAGGGGCCAUUCUAGAGGCAGAUCCAGGGGCCAUUCUAGAGGUAAAUCCAGGGGUCAUUCUAGAGGAAGAUCCAGGGGUAAUUCUAGAGGAAGAUCCAGGGGUAAUUCUAGGGACCGUUCCAGAGGUCAUUCCAGAGACCGUUCCAGGGGAAAAUCCAGGGAUAAUUCCAGGAACCGCUCCAGAGGGAGAUGUGGGGACUGCUGCAGAAGAAUAGCUAGAGUGACCGACGGAAAAUAAUGUUCUAACCAUAUUCUUCGUACUAAGUAAAAAAAGUAAUUAUGUAGAAACAAAUACAAAAAAAAAAGUUAAAAAAUCUUUAUAACCCAAAAAAAAAGUUACAAAAACAUUAAAACCAAAAAAAGUAACAAAAACUUUAAAACCAAAAAAAAGUAACAAAAACUUUAUAACCCAAAAAAAAUAUUUUAUUUAGUUAAAAAAGUAAGUAAUAGUAUGUUUGUAAGAUAAAAUACUGUAUAUAAGAAGUGAAGUUUUGUUUUAUAGCUUAUCGUAAUAUAUAAUCAGAUAAUAACUUUAAAUCCUGAUUAUUAGAAAACAAAACAAAACCGGCCAAGUGCGAGUCGGACUCGUGCACGAAGGGUUCCGUAAAUUACAGUUAAAUCAACCUAUCUCAAAAACUAUAAGAGAUACUUUGAUCAAACCAAAAAUCGUUGAAAGAGUUAAUUAGCAUGCAUCACCUCUAUUUUUUUUAGAAUUUUAUACCCCGUAGUUAUAAAAAUAGAGGGGGGGGGACAUACUUUUUACGACUUUGAGAGCUGAUAUCUCAAAAACCGUUCACUUUAAGAAAAAUGUUUUUUAGAAAACUUUAUAUCAUUUUAAAAGACCUUUCCAUUGAUACCCCACACGGGUAUGUACAUCGAAAAAAAAAAUUUCAUCCCUCAGUUACAUGUAUGGGGGGCCCCACCCCCAAUUCUUUUUUUUACUAUUUAGUGUCAUAUUUUUGUAGCGGUUCAUACAACACAUAUUCCCAUCAAAUUUCAUCACUGUAGUACUUAUAGUUUCCGAGUAAAUCGGCUGUGACAGACGGACAGACGGACAGACGGACAGACGGACAGACGGACAUGACGAAACUAUAAGGGUUCCGUUUUUUGUUUUUGGCUACGGAACCCUAAAAAGAAUAUGUAAUCAUCUAUAUCUAUAAUAUGAUUAAAUAGAAAAUAAGAUAUCGUGUUUAAAAAAAUACCAAAAAAAAAAAGAUAAUCAACCCAAAAAAAAAUUAAAAGUUACAAAAACAUUAUAAUCCAAAAAAAAAUUAUGACCCACAAAAAAAAAUAUUUAGUUAAAAAAGUAAGUUAUAGUUUGUUUAAUUAAGUACCUAAGUAAUACCUAAUACUGUACUAUCUAAGAAGUGAAGUUUUGUUUUAUAGCUUAUCGUAAUAUAUAACACAACGGAACAAAAUUAGACUUUUUUUGUGUUGCAUGAAAUUUUACGACUUUUGUUUACUAAUUCGAGGUCGCUGAUUUCAAAUCUACCCACAUUUUUUUUCUAACAGCUUUAGUUUUUGAGAUACAGCUAUUGACCGUAUGUUCGAACUAGUUACACUUAAAUUACAUAAAACAGAGCAUUUUAUUUAAAAAGUAUAUUAUUUUUACUAUUUCUAUGUUGCAAAAUAAUUGUGAAAAUGAUACUAACUAAUUCUGUAAUAUUUGUGGUGAAUAUACAUUUAAAGAUUGUAGACUAAGCGUGUCGGAGUUCUUGAAACGGGUGUACUUUGAGUUCUUUGGAUUUUCUUUGGACACCUGCGACAGGUACCUACUGGGUGUCUCAAAAUGUUAUGUAAAACAUGCGUCGAAUCUUUAAGGUUAUGAAAAAAUAAGAAAAGACCCCAUUUCAAGUAACAAACACAUAUGAUCUGGCGAGAACCCUCGAAUUAUUAGGUAGUUUUUCUGCGUGGUUGAUAUGAACGGCAAUAACAAAAAAAACGGUCCAAAUGGAUUUACCCUAACUUGUUAUCUACUACUUCAUCUUAAUAAAGGUGCUACCACCUUUGCACAUCAAACUAGGGCUCAUGAAACAAUUUGUAAAAGCUCUGAACAAAAAUGCUCAAUACAUAUCUAAAAAGUCCCAUAAUUUGAGUACUUAUAGAGAAACUAAAAGCCGAAAUUUCUAAUGGUCCACAAAUAAGGUGGUUGAUGUAAGUGUAAGUUUCAUAAUUACAUGACCGAUAUCGAAAAAAAUGCCUGAAACGAAUUCGUUUGGAUUGCACAAAAUUUUCUAUCAAACAAAAUGGAUGAAAACUUAUUCAAAUCACUUUGAACAGAUGUUUUCGGCUUGGUUGUAAUAUGAGCAUCAAGGUAUACUUCCUCCUUAGCCAUUUCGACCAUUUCCCUGAAAAUCUAUGUGAUCUCAGAGAAGAACAACGCGAACGGUUCCAUCAAGAUAUUCGGAAUAUGGAAAAGCGGUCCCAGGGUCAUUGGAAUGCCAACAUGAUGGCGAACUACUGUUGCAGCAUUAAAGACAGCCCUAGUGAACCGAAUCAAGCUAGAAAAUCUUAUAAAAGAAAGUUUUUUGAUGCUUAAUUGUUGUUCUUCUGCUGUUUUUUGUUAAUAAAAUUGUGUUUUUCUUGAAAAUCACGUUUUGUUGAUAUCUCAAAAACUAAAGCUGAUACAGAAAUUCUGACUUCAGAUCUUCAAUAAGCAGCCCAAAAAUAUACAAUAUUGGUCGUAAUAUUUCGUGCAACAAAAAUCUUGUUCCCUUGUGUAAUCAGAUAAUAACUUUAAAUCCUGAUUAUUAGAAAACAAAAAAAAAAUGUAAUCAUCUAUAUCUAUAAUAUGAUUAAAUAGAAAAUAAGAUAUUGUGUUUUAUUUAAAACCGAAAUACAUAAUGCCCAACAAACCACAUAACUGGAAUUUAUAAUCACAAGCAGAUUGCAUGACUGAAUGCAUUGUAAAAUUACCGUGUCUGUGAACAAUAUUCCUACUGAUUUCAAUAAUGUUGACUCAUAAAAUACACUCUGAAAUUAUCGACAUACAAGGGUAUUUUACACUCGCGGUCUACGUUAACUAUUUCAUACCGGGGAGUCUGAAAAUUCACACUGAUUUAUACACAGUACGCCUGGGCCAGCUGAGGGAGUUGAUAGACAACCCGCUAUUCGACCCUCUUCGUAACGUGAAUACUAGAAGGUGGCUGCCAAAAGGUGAAGCUCCGUUUCCUGGGUACUGUAGGGCGCCCGGCAGUGGCAAGUGUAUUGAUGCUCUAUGCAAUUGUGACCAGCUCAAAGAACGUUGGAACAUGAGAUUAGCUUCAAUUCUCAGUAAAACCACACAAUCAUAA